UGUAUAUGCAUAGCUGGUAAAGGGGCUGGGGCACCUGCAUGCUUCCCUGAAUGUGUAUUCCCUCUUGCUAGCACACAGAUGUUAAACAGCAGAGCAAGCAAUGUCUUGUUCAACUCUCUAGAGCCCCUUUACAUGCUGACUUGUAUGUUAUGACACUUAGACCUUUGAAACUAAUCCACUACACUGAAUUGUAAGACUCCAAUUUGCUGAUGAGGUAAGAGAAGCAAAGAUAAGUGAAGAUCAGUGAAAGAGCCAGGAGGAGAAUUCAGUAGCCACAGCCCAGCAUAUCAAUAGAUGUUUCACAUCUUUAAAGCUGAGAACAUCAGAUGUGUUCUCUGGGACAGGGGCAAUCUUCUUGGUGUAUCUGUACCUUGUGUAGCAUGGAGGAGUCCUGGUUCACUGGUUAAGGCUCCUGUUGCUUCCACAGGGUGAAUAGCAGUAUUUCACCAAGUCAGAGCCAUUGUUGACUGUCAGAACACCACAUUUCAGAGCCGGAAUGGUCUGAGCAAAGGGUAAAUGUCAGUGCUGCAUCUUUCCUGACCCAUCAUUUUUCUGGUUAUGAGCCAGACAUCCCCUUGUCUCUGCAGUGCACUGGUAAGAAGGAGGACAAGGUCAUUCAGACUUCAGUGCCUCUGUCUCAUUGUGUUUCUCUGAGCUGUGAGCAGCCUGGGACUUUGUGUAAGGCCUUAAUGAGGCCCAAGCAAAAGUUGACUUAAAAAAUAAAAAAUUCCUUUAUGAUGUGUGCUGCAGAGCAACAAAUGGAUAAUAAAAGGGCUGGAGACUGGAGGCAAAUCCUCCCUUUAGGUUAAGGGAAAUUAAGUCCUUUGGGGGAUGUGUAAUGUAUGAGGCUUCAUUAUUCUUCUCGGGACAAGCAAUGUAUGAUCCCUUGGUCAGAGAGAUGAAAGGAUCAUAAACUCAAAUGGCUCCACAUAGUCCAUGUGACUCAGACAGCACCAGAGAAUCUGCUGGAGGUAACUAUACAGAGCUCAGCCUGCCUUGUGCUGUAAAAGCUGUUCCCAUGAUGCUGGGAAUCAUAUUGUCCUGAUGCUUUCGUGUCCUCUCAGGGCAGGUGGACACAUACUGUCUGCAUGGAUGGUUAGCUGGGAGAGGGUCUUCUGGAGGCAAGUAAAAGGCCACAGAAGAAACACGUAUCAGGAAUAAACCCAGGUCAAGAAGUCUCUAACCCCUCCUGCACAGUCCCAGGUACUGGCUCUUCUCCUGUGCAGUCUUUCUGGCUGCCCCAGCUCAAGCCUACCUCUGCUUUCCUCCCUGACCUCCACUCCCAUCUCUCUUGCACAUACUAAGUCUUAUCCAUGUUGUGAUGCCCUAAUACAUUUGUUGUCCCUGCUCCCAGCUUCUGAAUCCCUUUGCUAUAAUCAGCGUGACUCAGAACAACAUCCCUGGAGCAAAAAGAAAUAAUGUGCCUUGUUCUGCUGCUCCCUAUUCAAAGGUAAAUUGAUUUUCUGCCCUCCGAGAGCAGAUGCUCACGUCUUUUUCUUUGCCUCUCUCCCUGCUCUCUACCAGAUUUAGGAGAAAUCACAUUCUGGGUUUUUUUUGUGGAGUUUGGGGAUGGAGAGAAGUUGUGUUAUUGGGAGCUUGCCAUAUGUCUUAUUAUUGAGUUGUAGAUCAAAGACAAUGUAUGGUCCUGUACUUGUUGUACCACUGCACGGGGGAGUGUGUGUGUCUGUGCAUCUUUUGAGCUUACCCUCUAUAUUUCUGCCAUACUUGUAGAUUCUAGACACUUGUAUCUCAGUGUGUGCCCCUUUGUGUGUGCUAAGCUGUUGUACAUGUAUUUAUCUGGGCUCAGGUGUAUAUAUGGGCCUUGUGUAAGAAUCUUGUGUGUUCCUGUGACUUGCUACAUCCCUAAGUCCUUGUUGGUCCCUGGUAUGUGUGCCUAUACCUCACUGUUAGGCGGAGCAGGUUGGCUCCUGCUGAGGAGUCAGCACUAGGUUUGAGUACAAACUCUAGUGCCAUACAGUGAAAUGCUGCAGCUUGCUUUAGAUUUAAGUACAGGGCAUCACUUUUCUCCUUUGUAUUGGAGCUGGGAUUGAUUCCUUGUGCCAGUGACGUCUCCCUAGCAAUAAAAUGUCCUUGCCACCCAAGCCAUCCAGUCCUCAUACCUGGAAGUGAUUGACACCUACCACAAAGCUCUACAGUUAGGAAAUGGGAAAGCAAUUUCUGCUGGUUGACACCAGAAAGCCCUGCUCAGCUGUGGGAGAUACCCUAAUCUGUGGCUUUAAAGCUGGACCAACUGAUAUUUUUCAUACCUGUCGUCUUGUUUUACAUCUGUGACUCUGCAGUUCUGGGGAAUCCUCGUGGAUUUUCCACUCUUGGCUUACUCUGUCUCCAUCUUUUCCCUUUUUCUGCUCUUUCUGCCUCUGCAAAGAUGUCACCAUGAUGAAGCUCCUGAUGGAUCCCUGGGUGACUCGCACCCAGUGGUGAUGGAUUGCUGCUCUCUGUGCUGCACGCUCCAGCUGUCUGCAGUUCAGCUGCUGGAUUGACAGGGCCUAUGAAUCACUCUUGGAAGGCAAAGUGCUCUGAGAGCUCUGGCCCCGUUUGCAGUGUGCUGAUGUGACACAGCCUCACAGAAACCAUUUACACGUGGACUGGGGUGGAUGUGGAUCUUGGAGCCAACUGCCAGGCUCUCAUGUGCCCCUCUUUGGGUUUGAGGAGGCUGGGUUAGAAGGGCUGAGAACAUACUGCUUCCCCUGUGUUUCUGCUGUUUUCCUUCUGUGUAUGCAGUGUUUCACAGAACUGAAAAAGGAAGGAGCUAUGAUCUGAAGAAAUUGUAGAGGAGAAUUGGGACAGUGGAUGAUACGGAGUAUGAGCUGAAGGGCACAGAGAAGAAGGAGCCCUGGGAGAACAAAAGGGGAAUUCCAGCAAGGCAAGCAGGUGAAGCUGCUCAUUCCACUGUUCCAGGAUCCAAGACACUUGAUCAGUGCAUGUCUCCAGGAAUUUGCCAAAGUUGUCCUUGGAAGGACCUGCAGCAGUAGUACUUCAUCCUCCUGAUGCAUGUGCCCCCUGUGCACCAUGGGUCUAGCACAGACACCAUCAGUCAUUCCUGAAAAGCAU